rfam:Nematostella vectensis strain CH2 x CH6 NEMVEscaffold_336_Cont24219, whole genome shotgun sequence.
GCCGUGAUCGUUUAGUUGUUAAUACAUUGCGUUUUGGCCGCAAUAACCCAGGUUCGAAUCCUGGCCACUGCA